rnacentral:rRNA from 1 species
CCUGGCUCAGAACGAACGCUGGCGGCAAGCUUAACACAUGCAAGUCGAACGGACCGUAUACGCAGCUUGCUGCGUGUAUGGUUAGUGGCAGACGGGUGAGUAAUGCAUAGGAAUCUACCUAGUAGUAUGGGAUAGCCACUAGAAAUGGUGGGUAAUACUGUAUAAUCCCUGCGGGGGAAAGAUUUAUCGCUAUUAGAUGAGCCUAUGUCAGAUUAGCUAGUUGGUGGGGUAAUGGCCUACCAAGGCGGUGAUCUGUAGCUGGUCUGAGAGGAUGAUCAGCCACACUGGAACUGAGACACGGUCCAGACUCCUACGGGAGGCAGCAGUGGGGAAUAUUGGACAAUGGGCGCAAGCCUGAUCCAGCUAUGCCGCGUGAGUGAGGAAGGCCUUAGGGUUGUAAAACUCUUUCAGUAGGGAAGAUAAUGACGGUACCUACAGAAGAAGUCC